CCCCCCGCUCCUCCAUUCGCGCAAAGCCCAUCCGACAAAAUCUCUCCCCAAACUGACCCUCGCCGGCGCCCGGCGGCGAUGUGCCCGACCACGCCCGAUCGCGCCAAUAAGGCCGCCGCCGGCUCCGGCGACAGGAACUGGCGGGAGGAGGCCGCGGCCGCCGGCUCGCUGCGCCAGGUCGACCUCGACCGGGGCACCAACGGCUGGGCCUCGCCGCCGGGGGACCUCUUCCACCUGCGCGCGCGGGGCUACUUCUCCGGCGGGGGCGGCAAGCGCGGCAAGGCGCCGUCCGCCGCGGAGUGGCUGCUCCGCCCCGCCGGCGUCGACUGGCUCCGCUCCCACGCCCGGCUCGACCACGUGCUCGCCCGCGACGACAACCCCGUCGCCGCCGCCUUCCGACGCGCGCGCCUCAGGAAGGACCCUACCGCGCACUUCCUCCUCGCCGUCAAUCUCCAGGUGCCGGGCCGGCCGGACGCGUACAGCGCGGUGUUCUACUUCGCGGCGGAGGCGCCCAUCCCGCCGGACUCGCUGCUCGGCCGCUUCGUCCACGGCGACGACGCCUACCGCAACGCGCGCUUCAAGAUAGCCAACCGCAUCGUCAAGGGCCCCUGGAUCGUCCGCGCCACCGUCGGCAACUACGCCGCGUGCCUCCUCGGCCGCGCCCUCACCUGCCGCUACCACAAGGGCGACGACUACCUCGAGAUCGACGUCGACAUCGGCAGCUCGGCGAUCGCCAGCGCCAUCCUGCACCUCGCGCUCGGCGCCGUCACGGCGGUGACCAUCGACAUGGGGUUCCUCGUCGAGUCCCAGUCCGAGGAGGAGCUGCCGGAGAGGCUAUUCGGCGCCGUGCGCAUCGCGCAGAUGGAGAUGGGCGCGGCAAAGUAUGUGGAGCUGCCGCCCGAUGAGGCGAUGCCUGAGACAGCCGGCAGGGCUGGGGCGGGGUUCAGGGUCAGCUCGGCCAAGGUAGUCAAUCAUAGCCACCAACAAGAACACGCCGGCGGCAAGGUCGGCAGGUCGAUGAGUCUCCCGGAGCGAGAGAGUGGAGUUAUUCGGAGACAGCAAAUUUUGGAUGUUGAAUUAGAAUAAAAGAUGCAAUUAUUUGUGCUAGCAUAUGCCAGCUCGUGAUGACAAGUACUUGUUUAUGCAGCACAUGGUCACAUGCUCAUCUUUAGUUAGGAAAAUAGUCGCGAAGGAUGCAGGUGCGGUGCCGGAACCAUCCAUCAGCGGCGGGAGGAAGACGGGCGAGAGCUGGAGGACAGAAUGCCGGGCAAGGGUAACACAAGGCAUAAAACGGGAGGAGAAGCUGGUGCCACGACCACGAAUAUGGAUGGGUCCCUCCAUAAAGUCGAGUUCAUGUUCAUUCGGUUGUGAUGAGAAACCUAAGCCAAGCCCUGAUGGACGAUUCGUGCGAAAUCAAAAUUAGUAGUAUAAAUAUUAAUCCGCGGUGCGUUUCGUAUAACAUAAUCAUGGCGCCCGGCCUUGUCUUCGGCUGCUGCCAGCCACAUC